rnacentral:misc_RNA from 1 species
GAUGAAGAACGUAGCGAAAUGCGAUAAGUAAUGUGAAUUGCAGAAUUCAGUGAAUCAUCGAAUCUUUGAACGCACAUUGCGCCCGCCAGUAUUCUGGCGGGCAUGCCUGUUCGAGCGUCAUUUCAACCAUCAAGCCCCAGGCUUGUGUUGGGGACCUGCGGCUGCCGCAGGCCCUGAAAACCAGUGGCGGGCUCGCUGUCACACCGGGCGUAGUAGAUUUUAUCUCGCUCAGGGCGUGCUGCGGGUUCCGGCCGUUAAACAGCCUUUUUUACCCAAGGUUGACCUCGGAUCAGGUAGGAAGACCCGCUGAACUUAAGCAUAUCAAUAAGCGGAGGA